ACCCCAUUGCCCUGGGCACAAGUCACCAAUUCCCUCCCCCCAACUGCCCCUCAGGGCAGCUCGCAGAUGGGACAGAACAAAACUCACCCACGAACAGAAACUUAUACUAAAUUUACAGGAAGCCAAAAAAAAUCAACAUUAUCAUGG